GGCGCACGGGUGAGUAACGCGUACACAACCUACCCUUAAGAGGGGGAUAGCCCUGGGAAACUGGAUUAAUACCCCAUGUGAUCAAGAUCAGGCAUCUGGUUUUGAUUAAAGUUGAGGCACUUAAGGAUGGGUGUGCGUGCUAUUAGCUAGUUGGUGAGGUAACGGCUCACCAAGGCGACGAUAGCUAGGGGGCGUGAGAGCGUGACCCCCCACACGGGUACUGAGACACGGACCCG
rnacentral:rRNA from 1 species